UACAGAGGGUGCAAACGUUGCUCGGAAUCACUGGGCGUAAAGGGCGUGUAGGCGGGCAGGCAAGUCAGGUGUGAAAUCCCCAGGCUCAACCUGGGAACUGCAUUUGAAACUCCCUUUCUUGAGUACCGGAGAGGAAAGUGGAAUUCCUGGUGUAGAGGUGAAAUUCGUAGAUAUCAGGAGGAACACCAGUGGCGAAGGCGGCUUUCUGGACGGUAACUGACGCUGAGACGCGAAAGCGUGGGGAGCAAACAGG
rnacentral:rRNA from 1 species